AUAUUACUCCCUCCGUUCGGAAUUACUUGUCUUGAAAAUGGAUGUAUCUAGAACUAAAAUACAUCUAGAUACAUCCAUUUCUACGACAAGUAAUUCCGAACGGAGGGAGUAGUUC
rnacentral:pre_miRNA from 1 species